AGCUGGAGAUUGAGGUAAUAAUCAACCAUGCCUACAGGAUGAAGCCUCUAUACAAAUCCCUAAAGUACAGGGGUCCAGAGAGCUUCCAGGUCGGUAAGCUCAUGGAGGUGCUGGGAGGGUGGUGCCCUGGAGAGGAAGCUCCCCGCACCCUUCCCACGUGUCUUCCCUAGGCAUCACUUCCAUCCGGCUGUUCCUGAGUUGUAUCCUUUUAUAACAAAACAGCAAUCUAAAUCAGAUAUUGGGGAAGAACAUGCAUGCAUUAUGAAACAGACAAAAAUGCAUUAUGGCUGUCAUGGAAAGCAGCCCCUGUCAACUCCUAUGUGCACUGGACAGGAGGAAGAAUUGCCUGCAGCAACUUCAACCACAGGAUGGGGACUGCAGAGGACAGAUCAGCAGCUCAUUUCCUCUGUGCAUUUUGGCCGUUAGACCUGUGUAUGUUUAAAAAAAUAAAAAGCCAGGGCUCA